AUACGGAGGGAGCGAGCGUUAAUCGGAAUUACUGGGCGUAAAGCGCGCGUAGGCGGCUUUGUAAGUCGGAUGUGAAAGCCCUGGGCUUAACCUGGGAAUGGCAUUCGAUACUGCAGAGCUAGAGUAUGGUAGAGGGAAGUGGAAUUUCCGGUGUAGCGGUGAAAUGCGUAGAUAUCGGAAGGAACACCAGUGGCGAAGGCGACUUGCUGGACUAAUACUGACGCUGAGGAGCGAAAGCGUGGGGAGCAAACGGGAUUAGAUACCCCAGUAGUCC
rnacentral:rRNA from 1 species